rfam:Cajanus cajan chromosome 7, whole genome shotgun sequence.
GCCGAGUUGAGUUGCGCCAGCUUGUAACCCAUGUGGGGGCAUCAGAGUGAUGGGACGGCUACUGGGCUUUGCUAGGUUGGGCUGUUGCAGCAACUUGCUGGCCUGCCCGCUCCAAGUUGGGAGUUGCCUGCCCGCUCCAAGUUGGGAGUUGGGCCACGGAGCUUGUGCGAAGGCAUUGGCCUCUUGGUCCCUAGACUUGAGGGCACAGCGUGAGGCUGGCUUGACAGAGCAGCGAUAACCUCAGGCUUCCAACAGUGGAGGGAUAACAGGCUGCUGCCCCAACAGCCCACAAAUAGCCUGGUCAGCCCAGUUCCUUGAACCAUCAUUUUU